GACGAACGCUGGCGGCGUGCUUAACACAUGCAAGUCGAACGGUGACGACCGACCUUGCUCGGUCUGUUUAGUGGCGAACGGGUGAGUAACACGUGAGUAACCUGCCCUUCACUCUGGGAUAACUUCGGGAAAUUGGGGCUAAUACCGGAUAUGAGCUCCUGUCGCAUGGUGGGUGUUGGAAAGUUUGUCGGUGUGGGAUGGGCUCGCGGCCUAUCAGUUUGUUGGUGGGGUAGUGGCUCACCAAGGCGAUGACGGGUAGCCGGCCUGAGAGGGCGACCGGCCACACUGGGACUGAGACACGGCCCAGACUCCUACGGGAGGCAGCAGUGGGGAAUAUUGCACAAUGGGCGGAAGCCUGAUGCAGCGACGCCGCGUGAGGGAUGACGGCCUUCGGGUUGUAAACCGCUUUCAGCAGGGAAGAAGCGAAAGUGACGGUACCGGCAGAAGAAGCGCCGGCUAACUACGUG
rnacentral:rRNA from 1 species